GUUAUAUAGUCAAGCAACUAAGCGCAUACGGUGGAUGCCUUGGCAGUCAGAGGCGAUGAAAGACGUGGAAGCCUGCGAUAAGGUUCGGGGAGCUGGCAAACGAGCUGUGAUCCGGACAUCUCUGAAUGGGGAAACCCACCUAACUUCGGUUAGGUAUCUUACACUGAAUCCAUAGGUGUAAGAGGCGAACCGGGGGAACUGAAACAUCUAAGUACCCCGAGGAAAAGAAAUCAACCGAGAUUCCCUAAGUAGCGGCGAGCGAACGGGGACCAGCCCUUAAGCUGGACAACUGGUAGGAGAAGGCCCUGGAAAGAGCCGCCAUAGUGGGUGAUAGCCCCGUAUCCGAAACCUGAGUCCAGUGAAAUCGAGUAGGUCGGCGCACGAGAAACGUUGACUGAACAUGGGGGGACCAUCCUCCAAGGCUAAAUACUCCUGACUGACCGAUAGUGAACCAGUACCGUGAGGGAAAGGCGAAAAGAACCCCUGUGAGGGGAGUGAAAUAGACCCUGAAACCGUAUGCGUACAAGCAGUCGGAGCAGACUUGUUCUGUGACGGCGUACCUUUUGUAUAAUGGGUCAGCGACUUAUGUUCAGUGGCGAGGUUAACCGUUUAGGGGAGCC
rnacentral:rRNA from 2 species